rnacentral:rRNA from 1 species
UACAGAGGUCUCAAGCGUUGUUCGGAUUCAUUGGGCGUAAAGCGCGUGUAGGCGGCCCGAUAAGUCCGCUGUGAAAGUCCAGGGCUCAACCCUGGGAUGCCGGUGGAUACUGUCGGGCUCGAGUCCGGAAGAGGCGAGUGGAAUUCCUGGUGUAGCGGUGAAAUGCGCAGAUAUCAGGAGGAACACCAAUGGCGAAGGCAGCACUCUGGGACGUGACUGACGCUGAGACGCGAAAGCGUGGGGAGCAAACAGG